GAUGAACGCUAGCUACAGGCUUAACACAUGCAAGUCGCGGGGCAGCAUGGGGGUUGCUUGCAAUCCCCGAUGGCGACCGGCGCACGGGUGAGUAACGCGUAUCCAACCUGCCCUUCACCACGGGAUAACCCGGCGAAAGUCGGACUAAUACCGUAUGUUGUCCAUUGACGGCAUCCGAUUUGGACGAAAGGGUUGGCGGGGAAGGAUGGGGAUGCGUCCGAUUAGCUGGACGGCGGGGUGACGGCCCACCGUGGCGACGAUCGGUAGGGGUUCUGAGAGGAAGGUCCCCCACACUGGAACUGAGACACGGUCCAGACUCCUACGGGAGGCAGCAGUGAGGAAUAUUGGUCAAUGGGCGUAAGCCUGAACCAGCCAAGUAGCGUGCAGGAUGACGGCCCUAUGGGUUGUAAACUGCUUUUAUGCGGGGAUAAAGUGGCCCACGUGUGGGUUUUUGCAGGUACCGCAUGAAUAAGGACCGGCUAAUUCCGUG
rnacentral:rRNA from 1 species